CUGCUCCCUACAGCAGCGCAUAUGUACUAAAACUGGAAGGAUACAGAGAAGAUUGGCAUGGCCCUUGUGCAAGGAUGACAUGCAGAUUCGUGAAGUGGUCCAUAUUUUU